GGGAACAAUUGGAGAUCUUUGCAUUUGUAAAGACUGUGCAAAUUGUUCAGGUGGCAUAGUUCCAAACGACGAGUAUUUUGGAAGAGCUUUUCAAAAAUUUUCUACUGAUAAUCUUAAGGAAAUAGCAUCGUCCCAGUUGUUAAAAUCAAUAUUUUUG
rnacentral:lncRNA from 1 species